UACGUAGGGGGCAAGCGUUGUCCGGAAUUAUUGGGCGUAAAGCGCGCGCAGGCGGUGAAUUAAGUCUGAUGUUUAAACCCGGGGCUCAACCUCGGGUCGCAUUGGAAACUGGUUGACUGGAGUGCAGGAGAGGAAAGUGGAAUUCCACGUGUAGCGGUGAAAUGCGUAGAGAUGUGGAGGAACACCAGUGGCGAAGGCGACUUUCUGGCCUGUAACUGACGCUGAGGCGCGAAAGCGUGGGGAGCAAACA
rnacentral:rRNA from 1 species